rnacentral:rRNA from 1 species
AACGAACGCUGGCGGCAUGCCUAACACAUGCAAGUCGAACGAAACCUUCGGGUCUAGUGGCGCACGGGUGCGUAACGCGUGGGAACCUGCCCUUAGGUUCGGAAUAACUCCCCGAAAGGGGUGCUAAUACCGGAUAAUGUCUUCGGACCAAAGAUUUAUCGCCUUUGGAUGGGCCCGCGUUGGAUUAGCUAGUUGGUAGGGUAAAAGCCUACCAAGGCGACGAUCCAUAGCUGGUCUGAGAGGAUGAUCAGCCACACUGGGACUGAGACACGGCCCAGACUCCUACGGGAGGCAGCAGUGGGGAAUAUUGGACAAUGGGCGAAAGCCUGAUCCAGCAAUGCCGCGUGAGUGAUGAAGGCCUUAGGGUUGUAAAGCGCUUUUACCCGGGAUGAUAAUGACAGUACCGGGAGAAUAAGCUCCGGCUAACUCCGUG